rnacentral:rRNA from 1 species
UACGUAGGUGGCAAGCGUUGUCCGGAUUUACUGGGCGUAAAGGGAGCGUAGGCGGACUUUUAAGUGAGAUGUGAAAUACUCGGGCUCAACUUGAGUGCUGCAUUUCAAACUGGAAGUCUAGAGUGCAGGAGAGGAGAAUGGAGUUCCUAGUGUAGCGGUGAAAUGCGUAGAGAUUAGGAAGAACACCAGUGGCGAAGGCGAUUCUCUGGACUGUAACUGACGCUGAGGCUCGAAAGCGUGGGGAGCAAACAGG